rnacentral:rRNA from 1 species
AUUGAACGCUGGCGGCAUGCCUAACACAUGCAAGUCGAACGGCAGCACGGGUGCUUUCCUCUGGUGGCGUUUGGCGAACGGGGGAGUAAUACAUCGGAACAUGUCCUCUAUUAGGGGGUAGCACGUUGAAAGCCGGGGUAAUACUGCCUACGAACUACUUAUAAAAGCGGGGUACCUACUGACCGCCGGCUUUAGUGUUGGUCGAUGGCUGAUUAGCUAGGUGGUGGGGUAUAGGCCUACCAAGGGGACGAUCAGUAGCUGGUCUGUGAGGACGACCAGCCACACUGGGACUGAGACACGGCCCAGACUCCUACGGGAGGAAGCAGUGGGGAAUUUUGGACAAUGGGCGAAAGCCUGAUCCAGAAAUGCCGCGUGGGUGAAGAAGGCCUUCGGGUUGUAAAGCACUUUUGUCCGGAAAGAAAUCCUUGGCCCUAAUACGGUCGGGGGAUGACGGUACCGGAAGAAUAAACACCGGCUAACUACGU